UACGUAGGGGGCAAGCGUUGUCCGGAAUUAUUGGGCGUAAAGCGCGCGCAGGCGGUUUUUUAAGUCUGAUGACUAAACCCAGGGCUCAACUUUGGGACGCAUUGGAAACUGGGAGGCUGGAGUGUAGGAGAGGAAAGUGGAAUUCCACGUGUAGCGGUGAAAUUCGUAGAUAUUCGGAAGAACACCAGUGGCGAAGGCGGCUCACUGGCCUGGUAUUGACGCUGAGGUGCGAAAGCGUGGGGAGCAAACAGG
rnacentral:rRNA from 1 species